UUUUUAGAAUGAGUAUGUUCCAUGCAAUAUUUGGGACAUGCUUAUACUAAAA
rfam:Pan troglodytes isolate Yerkes chimp pedigree #C0471 (Clint) chromosome 13, whole genome shotgun sequence.